AUUGAACGCUGGCGGCAAGCCUAACACAUGCAAGUCGAACGAGUGGCGGACGGGAGGGUAAUGUCUGGGAAACUGCCUGAGGGAGGGGGUUAACUACUGGAAACGGUAGCUAAUACCGCAUAGCAGCGGCUGGGCCCAGAUGGGUUUAGCUAGUAGGUGGGGUAAAGGCCCACCUAGGCGACGAUCCCUAGCUGGUCUGAGAGGAUGACCAGCCACACUGGAACUGAGACACGGUCCAGACUCCUACGGGAGGCAGCAGUGGGGAAUAUUGGACAAUGGGCGAAAGCCUGAUGCAGCCAUGCCGCGUGUAUGAAGAAGGCCUUCGGGUUGUAAAGUACUUUCAGCUGGGAGGCGUUACCCGCAGAAGAAGCACCGGCUAACUCCGUGCCAGCAGCCGCGGUAAUAC
rnacentral:rRNA from 1 species